rnacentral:rRNA from 1 species
AGUCGAACGGAGUAGCAAUACUCAGUGGCGACCGGGUGAGUAACACGUAGCAGACCUGCCUUUCCGCGGGGGAUAACAGUCCGAAAGGAUUGCUAAUACCGCAUAAUUUCGGGGGAACUAGAUACCCUUGAAUAAACUUCCGGGGCGGAAAGAGGGUGCUGCGGCCCAUCAGGUAGUUGGUGAGGUAACGGCUCACCAAGCCGACGACGGGUAGGGGGCCUGAGAGGGUGACCCCCCACACUGGAACAGACAUACGGUCCAGACUCCUACGGGAGGCAGCAGUAAGGGAUAUUGGGCAAUGGACGAAAGUCUGUCCCAGCAACGCCGCGUGGAGGACGAAGGUUUUCGGACUGUAAACUCCUUUUGUCGGGGACGAGAUAGGACGGUACCCGACGAAUCAGUCACGGCUAACUACGUGCCAGCAGCCGCGGUAAAACGUAGGUGGCGAGCGUUAUCCGGAUUUACUGGGCGUAAAGGGUGUGCAGGCGGGCUGUUAAGUGGUGCAUGAAAUCUCCGCGCUUAACGUGGAGAGGCUGUGCCAGACUGGCAGUCUAGAGUACGAGAGAGGGUUGUGGAAUUCCGGGUGUAGUGGUGAAAUGCGUAGAGAUCCGGAGGAACACCAGAGGCGAAGGCGGCAACCUGGCUCGUAACUGACGCUCAUACACGACAGCAUGGGGAGCGAACGGGAUUAGAAACCCCGGUAGUCCAUGCCGUANACGAUGCAAGCUGGGUGUCGCGGGGUGCAAACCCUGCGGUAUCGUAGUUAAC